CCGUGGGAUGAAUCCCACGGCUAACAUCAAGCGCCCCGACGGGGCU
rnacentral:sRNA from 17 species